rnacentral:RNase_P_RNA from 1 species
CAGACGGUCGCGUGCCUGACGGCAUGAGGAAAGUCCGGGCUGCACAGGGCAAGGAUAACGGAUAACGUCCGCCGGGGGCGACCCCAGGAAUAGUGCAACAGAGAUAUACCGCCUCAUCCCCUAUAUUGGGGCCCCUACAAAAACACCCGUUUUUGUGGGGAGAGGAGAGACAGCAAAAUGGACGAGCUUUGCCAUUUUGGCGAAGCGAGUGAUAUGGAGCUUGGCUCGACGAGGUAAGGGUGGAAAGGCGAGGUAAGAGCUCACCGCGCCCCGUGGUGACACGGGGGGCCUGUAAACUCUAUCCGCAGCAACGCCGACAGGGACCAUGGUUUGCCCGACCGUCCCGACUGGCGGCUUGAGACGUGCGGCAACGUGCGUCCCAGAUAGAUGACCGUCCACGACAGAACCCGGCUUACGCACCAG